rnacentral:tRNA from 1 species
GUCUCCGUGGCGCAAUUGGUUAGCGCGUUCGACUGUUAUCUGCAGUGAAUCGAGAGGUUGACAGUUCAAUCCUGUCCGGGGACG